AACGAACGCUGGCGGCAGGCCUAACACAUGCAAGUCGAGCGCACCUUCGGGUGAGCGGCGGACGGGUUAGUAACGCGUGGGAACAUACCCUUUUCUACGGAAUAGCCUCGGGAAACUGAGAGUAAUACCGUAUACGCCCUUCGGGGGAAAGAUUUAUCGGUGAAGGAUUGGCCCGCGUUUGAUUAGAUAGUUGGUGGGGUAAUGGCCUACCAAGUCUACGAUCAAUAGCUGGUUUGAGAGGAUGAUCAGCAACACUGGGACUGAGACACGGCCCAGACUCCUACGGGAGGCAGCAGUGGGGAAUCUUAGACAAUGGGCGCAAGCCUGAUCUAGCCAUGCCGCGUGAGUGACGAAGGCCUUAGGGUCGUAAAGCUCUUUCGCCAGAGAUGAUAAUGACAGUAUCUGGUAAAGAAACCCCGGCUAACUCCGUGCCAGCAGCCGCGGUAAUACGGAGGGGGUUAGCGUUGUUCGGAAUUACUANGCGUAGAGCGUACGUA
rnacentral:rRNA from 1 species